rnacentral:rRNA from 1 species
AUUGAACGCUGGCGGAAUGCUUUACACAUGCAAGUCGAACGGUAGAGGGGGCAACCCCUCGAGAGUGGCGAACGGGUGAGUAAUAUAUCGGAACGUGCCCAGUCGUGGGGGAUAACGUAGCGAAAGUUACGCUAAUACCGCAUACGAUCUAAGGAUGAAAGCGGGGGAUCGCAAGACCUCGCGCGAUUGUAGCGGCCGAUAUCAGAUUAGGUAGUAGGUGGGGUAAAGGCUCACCAAGCCAACGAUCUGUAGCUGGUCUGAGAGGACGACCAGCCACACUGGAACUGAGACACGGUCCAGACUCCUACGGGAGGCAGCAGUGGGGAAUUUUGGACAAUGGACGCAAGUCUGAUCCAGCCAUUCCGCGUGCAGGAUGAAGGCCCUCGGGUUGUAAACUGCUUUUGUACGGAACGAAAAGGUCUCUCUUAAUACGGGGGGCUCAUGACGGUACCGUAAGAAUAAGCACCGGCUAACUACGUGCCAGCAGCCGCGGUAA